rnacentral:rRNA from 1 species
AGAGUUUGAUCCUGGCUCAGAAUGAACGCUGGCGGCGUGCUUAACACAUGCAAGUCGUACGCGAAAGGCGCUUUCGGGUGCUGAGUAGAGUGGCGCACGGGUGAGUAACGCGUGGGUAAUCUACCCUUGGAUCUUGGAUAACAUAUCGAAAGGUGUGCUAAUACGGGAUGAAGUCUUGCUGGAUGAGUUUGGUGAGAUGAAAGGCCGCGCAAGCGGUUGUCCGAGGAUGAGCCUGCGUCCCAUUAGUUAGUUGGCGGGGUAAAGGCCCACCAAGACUGAGAUGGGUAGCUGGUCUGAGAGGAUGAUCAGCCACACUGGAACUGGAACACGGUCCAGACUCCUACGGGAGGCAGCAGUGAGGAAUUUUGCGCAAUGGGGGAAACCCUGACGCAGCAACGCCGCGUGAGUGAUGAAGGCCUUCGGGUCGUAAAGCUCUGUCGAGUGGGAAGAAACAGUUCAGGUUAAUAUCCUGAACCUUGACGGUACCACUAAAGGAAGCACCGGCUAACUCCGUGCCAGCAGCCGCGGUAAUACGGGGGGUGCAAGCGUUAUUCGGAAUUAUUGGGCGUAAAGGGUGCGUAGGCGGUUUUGUAAGUCAGAUGUGAAAUCCCGGGGCUUAACUUCGGAACUGCAUUUGAUACUGCAAGACUUGAGUAUGGGAGAGGAGAGCGGAAUUCCUGGUGUAGAGGUGAAAUUCGUAGAUAUCAGGAGGAACACCGGUGGCGAAGGCGGCUCUCUGGACCAAUACUGACGCUGAGGCACGAAGGCGUGGGGAGCAAACAGGAUUAGAUACCCUGGUAGUCG